GUUUGUAAAUCAUAUUUGACAUGAUGUUCCGCGUGCUUGGGCGAGAGUAGUACUAGGAUGGGUGACCUCCUGGGAAGUCCUCGUGUUGCACCCC
rnacentral:rRNA from 1 species